rnacentral:rRNA from 1 species
GUCUUUUUGAUUAUAAUUUAAAGUCUAACCUGCCCACUGAAUAUUUUGAAGGGCCGCGGUAUUUUGACUGUGCAAAGGUAGCAUAAUCAUUAGUCUUUUAAUUGGAGGCUUGUAUGAAUGGUUGGAUGAGGUAUUAACUGUCUCAAUUUAAUAAAUAAUAGAAUUUUAUUUUUAAGUUAAAAAGCUUAAAUUUUAUUAAAAGACGAGAAGACCCUAUAGAUCUUUAUAAUUAAUCUUAUAAUAAUUUUUUAGAUUAAAUUUAUUUUUAUAAGAUAAAUUAUUAUAUUGGGGUGAUAAAAAAAUUUAUAAAACUUUUUUUAUAUUAAAACAAUGAUAUUUGAUUAAUUGAUCCAUUUUUUGUGAUUAUAAGAUUAAGUUACCUUAGGGAUAACAGCGUAAUUUUUUUGGAGAGUUCAUAUCGAUAAAAAAGAUUGCGACCUCGAUGUUGAAUUAAAGGUUAAUUUUAGGUGUAGAAGUUUAAAAUUUUGGUCUGUUCGACCAUUAAAUC